AUUGAACGCUGGCGGCAUGCCUUACACAUGCAAGUCGAACGGCAGCACGGGGGCAACCCUGGUGGCGAGUGGCGAACGGGUGAGUAAUGCAUCGGAACGUGUCCUCUUGUGGGGGAUAACCAGUCGAAAGAUUGGCUAAUACCGCAUGAGAUCGAGAGAUGAAAGCGGGGGACCCGAGGGUAACUUCGGGCCUCGCGCGAGAGGAGCGGCCGAUGCCGGAUUAGCAGUUGGUGGGGUAAGAGCCUACCAAGGCGACGAUCCGUAGCUGGUCUGAGAGGACGACCAGCCACACUGGGACUGAGACACGGCCCAGACUCCUACGGGAGGCAGCAGUGGGGAAUUUUGGACAAUGGGGGAAACCUGAUCCAGCGACGCCGCGUGUGUGAAGAAGGCCUGC
rnacentral:rRNA from 1 species